rnacentral:tRNA from 1 species
UAAAGAUUAGUAAAUUAUUACCUUAGCUUGUCAAACUAAAAUUAACAUUUAUUUUGUUAUCUUUAU